rnacentral:rRNA from 1 species
UACGUAGGGUGCGAGCGUUAAUCGGAAUUACCGGGCGUAAAGCGUGCGCAGGCGGUUUUGUAAGCCAGAUGUGAAAUCCCCGGGCUUAACCUGGGAAUGGCAUUUGGGACUGCAAGGCUUGAGUGCGGCAGAGGAGACUGGAAUUCCUGGUGUAGCAGUGAAAUGCGUAGAUACCAGGAGGAACACCGAUGGCGAAGGCAGGUCUCUGGGCUGACACUGACGCUCAUGCACGAAAGCGUGGGGAGCAAACAGG